rnacentral:rRNA from 1 species
CAGCACCGCGGGAAUACGGAGGGUGCAAGCGUUAUCCGGAUUUAUUGGGUUUAAAGGGUCCGUAGGCGGAUCUGUAAGUCAGUGGUGAAAUCUCACAGCUUAACUGUGAAACUGCCAUUGAUACUGCAGGUCUUGAGUAAAUUUGAAGUGGCUGGAAUAAGUAGUGUAGCGGUGAAAUGCAUAGAUAUUACUUAGAACACCAAUUGCGAAGGCAGGUCACUAAGAUUUAACUGACGCUGAUGGACGAAAGCGUGGGGAGCGAACAGGAUUAGAUACCCCCGUAGUCCCUGUCUCUUAUACC